AUUAGUUACAAAUUUAUUGAAAUCGCCAGAAAAUUAUGUAAUAAAACAGAACUUACAAAUUUCCUGAUCAAUUUUCAGGGCGAUACUGGAGGAUUUGGAAUAAAGGGUUCUAAUGGAUUGGAAGGACAGAAGGGAGAGAGGGGAGUGGCUGGUGAUCCAGGCCCGCCGGGAAGUCCUGGACCUAAGUGCAAAGUGGCAGAAUAUACUUUUUCUUUCAUUCGUUAGCUAUACUCGCCAGCAUGUAGCACAUUAUUUUGACUUAGCAAAAGACGGUAAUAAUUGUUAAGAACGGUGCAAUAGUCUUCAUUUUGGUAAUUAAGACGGCAACAGAAUUAUAGUUUUAACAUAUGUGAUCCAAUAAAUCAUGAUAAAUACACAUAUCGUUGAUAAAUUUGCGUCUUUUUUUUUGUUUAGUUUAUUUACCGUAAAUGCUCGAAUUAGCGCCCGGGGCGCUUAUUUCAA